rnacentral:rRNA from 1 species
UGCAAGUCGAGCGAACGGACGAGAAGCUUGCUUCUCUGAUGUUAGCGGCGGACGGGUGAGUAACACGUGGAUAACCUACCUAUAAGACUGGGAUAACUUCGGGAAACCGGAGCUAAUACCGGAUAAUAUUUUGAACCGCAUGGUUCAAAAGUGAAAGACGGUCUUGCUGUCACUUAUAGAUGGAUCCGCGCUGCAUUAGCUAGUUGGUAAGGUAACGGCUUACCAAGGCAACGAUGCAUAGCCGACCUGAGAGGGUGAUCGGCCACACUGGAACUGAGACACGGUCCAGACUCCUACGGGAGGCAGCAGUAGGGAAUCUUCCGCAAUGGGCGAAAGCCUGACGGAGCAACGCCGCGUGAGUGAUGAAGGUCUUCGGAUCGUAAAACUCUGUUAUUAGGGAAGAACAUAUGUGUAAGUAACUGUGCACAUCUUGACGGUACCUAAUCAGAAAGCCACGGCUAACUACGUGCCAGCAGCCGCGGUAAUACGUAGGUGGCAAGCGUUAUCCGGAAUUAUUGGGCGUAAAGCGCGCGUAGGCGGUUUUUUAAGUCUGAUGUGAAAGCCCACGGCUCAACCGUGGAGGGUCAUUGGAAACUGGAAAACUUGAGUGCAGAAGAGGAAAGUGGAAUUCCAUGUGUAGCGGUGAAAUGCGCAGAGAUAUGGAGGAACACCAGUGGCGAAGGCGACUUUCUGGUCUGUAACUGACGCUGAUGUGCGAAAGCGUGGGGAUCAAACAGGAUUAGAUACCCUGGUAGUCCACGCCGUAAACGAUGAGUGCUAAGUGUUAGGGGGUUUCCGCCCCUUAGUGCUGCAGCUAACGCAUUAAGCACUCCGCCUGGGGAGUACGACCGCAAGGUUGAAACUCAAAGGAAUUGACGGGGACCCGCACAAGCGGUGGAGCAUGUGGUUUAAUUCGAAGCAACGCGAAGAACCUUACCAAAUCUUGACAUCCUUUGACAACUCUAGAGAUAGAGCYUUCCCCUUCGGGGGACAAAGUGACAGGUGGUGCAUGGUUGUCGUCAGCUCGUGUCGUGAGAUGUUGGGUUAAGUCCCGCAACGAGCGCAACCCUUAAGCUUAGUUGCCAUCAUUAAGUUGGGCACUCUAAGUUGACUGCCGGUGACAAACCGGAGGAAGGUGGGGAUGACGUCAAAUCAUCAUGCCCCUUAUGAUUUGGGCUACACACGUGCUACAAUGGACAAUACAAAGGGCAGCGAAACCGCGAGGUCAAGCAAAUCCCAUAAAGUUGUUCUCAGUUCGGAUUGUAGUCUGCAACUCGACUACAUGAAGCUGGAAUCGCUAGUAAUCGUAGAUCAGCAUGCUACGGUGAAUACGUUCCCGGGUCUUGUACACACCGCCCGUCACACCACGAGAGUUUGUAACACCCGAAGCCGGUGGAGUAACCUUUUAGGAGCUAGCCGUC